rnacentral:rRNA from 1 species
AGUGAACGCUGGCGGUAGGCCUAACACAUGCAAGUCGAACGGCAGCACAGUAAGAGCUUGCUCUUACGGGUGGCGAGUGGCGGACGGGUGAGGAAUACAUCGGAAUCUACUUUUUCGUGGGGGAUAACGUAGGGAAACUUACGCUAAUACCGCAUACGACCUACGGGUGAAAGCAGGGGAUCUUCGGACCUUGCGCGAUUGAAUGAGCCGAUGUCGGAUUAGCUAGUUGGCGGGGUAAAGGCCCACCAAGGCGACGAUCCGUAGCUGGUCUGAGAGGAUGAUCAGCCAAACUGGAACUGAGACACGGUCCAGCCUCCUACGGGGGGCAGCAGUGGGGAAUUUUGGACAAUGGGGGAAAGCCUGAACCAGCCAAACCGGGGGGGUGAAGAAGGCCUGCGGGUUGUAAAGCCCUUUUGUUGGGAAAGAAAAGAAGCAGGUUAAUACCCCGUUGUUCUGACGGUACCAAAAGAAUAAGCACCGGCUAACUUCGU